UUUGUACUAUACUCACUACACUUCUUGUUUUUUUUAAAAUUAAUUUAAUUCAGUUACCUUAGAAAUAAAUAGUGCUGUUGCUUUUUUGUUCACCAUAACCUGGUCAGUAAUUAACACCGUCAAUUAUUGAGAUACUUUAAAAACCAAUGGAUCUGAACGAAUAAAUGUUAUAUUCUCAAUACACCCACACUCUGUUAGACGGCUACUUGAAGACUCACGAUCUACAUAAAAAUGAAGAUACAUGCUUUAUUGGAUUGAUAACUGAGCGUGAAUCAAUAUUAUUAGGACUGAAAUUAAUGUUUUAGUAGCAGCCAGUCCAUAUUUUUGUAUUUAUUAUAAGUUAGAUUCUACCGUUUUACUUAUAUUUUUAGAUUAUAUAUUUAUACUGGCAAAACUAUGGUCGCCAAUGAAAAUUUACAGGUUUUGUAACCGGCUGCAGAUCGCUAAUAGUUGGACUAUACAAGUGGUAUAUGUGCAAAGAUUUUACUAACACAAACGAAUACUUCAAAUUAUCUUUCUAUAAAAUCAUUUGCCAAUUUACAUCAUAAUUGUACGGUGUUCUCUCAAGUUCUGAAGCAUUCAUCAAUAACCAUAAUUGUAUAUGUUAUUUUAUAGUUACACCUUAAAGUGUAGAAGUAUAAAAUAACAUAAAUAAGUGAAUGGGUGUAAUGGGGAUCAUUAUAAUUACAAUACGCAAUGGCCUUUGAAUGUGUUAUUAAAUGGGUAAUCCAUGUUUUAAUUGGAGAAAAAUGUAUUGCCAGUAUUAAUGACGUUUGCCACUAUCAGUAUCAACACUCGAUGUAUAGUAAAUAACGUGGUUCAAGAAACACUUCUGAAAAAAAUUCUAAAUAAGUCAGUUCAGCAUUUUGCCAUUCCAAAUACGAUUCGGUGUAGAGGUUUUUGAUGUCACUAUUCAAAAAUGGAUAGCUAGUAUGACUACAGAAGUGAUUUGCGUGUGGGCAUACUUGAUUAUCGUUUAUAAGAGUUGAAGAACAGUCUGUAUGUCAUGAAGGUGUUUAUAUAGAAUUUUGGAAGUUGUUAUGUAUGGUAUCAGUGUUUGUGAUGGAUCAACAUUUCUUAACAGUAUUGAGGCCUGUAUAUUUCUCGAUACAUACCUGGAGUAGUCGAAUCAGAUUGUUUAAUGUAUUUGAUUGACGGAGAAACAAAGAAAUCUGAAGAAUUUGUUUAUACUAUUGAAGUGUACAACCAGACAUCAACACUUGGUCCACGGAAACAUUGUCAAGAAGUUACAUUGACGUCUGUGUGUUUAGUUGUUAAUAGGCCACCACAUUUUAUAAUAGUUUUAUUAUUGGUUGUAAUAAUACACACAGAUGAUUAACUUAAGAUAAAACAUAUAUUUAUUUUAUCAAUGUUAGUUUUUUUUCUGAAUGUUUAAUAAAAAGUGUUUUGUAUAAUUUAAAUCAACUAUUGCAUUCAAGUUAAAGAAAUACAGCUUAUAUUCAGUUGGUAUACUCAUAACAGUAAAUAAUAGUUUUUUUCUCAACAAUACUUUGCUUUAUACUUAAAUAUGUAUUCCUAAGUAGUAGUGUACAAUAAAAUGGAAAAGAGUCAGUAAGCUGUAUAUCAAGAAAAAAAACUAUGGUCUAAGUCAUUGCAACAUAUAAGCAACUUCAUUUAAAAUCAUAGGCAUUAAGUUUCUAUACCCGUUCGAAUAGUAGCAAGAUCGUCAUUGCUUACAUAGUAGUUACAUUUAUAUGGAAUACAGUCUACAGAUUAAAUUUAUAGGUAAUAGUUGCGCCUUACAUCAGUUCAUGUA